UGAGGAAUAUUGGACAAUGGGCGAGAGCCUGAUCCAGCCAUGACGCGUGCAGGAAGACGGCCCUAUGGGUUGUAAACUGCUUUUAUACGGGAAGAAACACUCCUUCGUGAAGGAGCUUGACGGUACCGUAAGAAUAAGGAUCGGCUAACUCCGUG
rnacentral:rRNA from 1 species